rnacentral:rRNA from 1 species
AUUGAACGCUGGCGGCAUGCUUUACACAUGCAAGUCGAACGGCAGCGCGGGCUUCGGCCUGGCGGCGAGUGGCGAACGGGUGAGUAAUGCAUCGGAACGUGCCCAGUAGUGGGGGAUAGCCCGGCGAAAGCCGGCUUAAUACCGCAUACGAUCUGAGGGUGAAAGCGGGGGACCGACAGGCCUAGCGCUAUUGGAGCGGCCGAUGUCGGAGUAGCUAGUUGGUGGGGUAAAGGCUUACCAAGGCGACGAUCCGUAGCUGGUCUGAGAGGGCGACCAGCCACACUGGGACUGAGACACGGCCCAGACUCCUACGGGAGGCAGCAGUGGGGAAUUUUGGACAAUGGGGGCAACCCUGAUCCAGCCAUGCCGCGUGAGGGAAGAAGGCCUUCGGGUUGUAAACCGCUUUUGUUCGGGAAGAAAUCCUCUGGGCUAAUACCCCGGGGGGAUGACGGUACCGGAAGAAUAAGCACCGGCUAACUACGUG